GGUUUGACGAGAGCUGUGCUGUCUCUUCUGAAAUAUUUAGAAAUUAACUUUUAGGUGAAGAGGCCUAAAUUUAUUUAAGGGACAAGAAGACCCUGUUGAGCUUUAGUGAUGUUGCAAAUGAUAUAGAGUAAGUGUUACUAAUUUGUUAUGUAUUUAUUAUAAUAAAAAUUUGCAAAUAAUCUUUAGUUGGGGCGACUGAGGAACAUAAAAAGCUUCCUUAAAACGAAAUUAUUUAAUUUAUUAAAUGUAUGUAAAUGCUUACAUGUUAUUUUGAUCCAAGUUAUUUUGAUUAAAGGAAAAAGUUACCACAGGGAUAACAGCGUAAUCUUUCUGGAGAGAUCUUAUCGAAAGAAGGGUUUGCGACCUCGAUGUUGGACUAAGAUAUCCUAAGGGUGCAGAAGCUCUUAAAGGUUGGUCUGUUCCACCAUUAAAAUCUU
rnacentral:rRNA from 1 species